UGGGGAAUAUUGGACAAUGGGGCGAAAGCCUGAUCCAGCCAUGCCGCGUGUGUGAAGAAAGGUCUUCGGAUUGUAAAGCACUUUAAGUUGGGAGGAAGGGCAGUAAGUUAAUACCUUGCUGUUUUGACGUUACCGACAGAAUAAGCACCGGCUAACUCUGUUGC
rnacentral:rRNA from 1 species